ACGACAUAUUAUUUAAAUUUGGUUUAAAACACUUCCAGUUAACUGCACGUAAUCGAAUUACGGAGAUUUAGUUGGAUUCGCAAACUUUCCAGGAACAAAACUUCAAACAGUUCAAACAACUACCAACAACAACAACAUGAUUAAUAUGUUAGAAACACUAUCAAAAUAAUCUAUCUACUUACUCGAAUUGCAGCAAUAUUUAAUAAGAUAAUAAUAAAAAUAAAAUUUAUGAUUUACUUUAUUAGGGACAAUUUAUUGUUGGCGAUAAAUCUAAAAAUCAAUAUAAAUUGUAACGCAACACUAAGAAAGGAAAUCGAUUUGGUUAACGAUCCUUUUUAUAAAAGCUAAAAAAACUUAAACUUUUUCAUCAGUUGAAGAGGUUUAUCAGAAUGAUUGUAGUACUACUCUUUUCGUAUAUCUUAAUAAAUAGUGUCAUUUUUGGUGAUAAUGAAUCUGAAGAACCCGUAGUGAGACUUAUGAACAACGUAAUAAGAACCGAUACCUCCGACAUAAGAAACGUCGCAAUUGAUAAUAAAGCGAACAUGAACUACUCACUAUACAGAGAAAUCCCUAAAAAGGACCCAAAAUGCGUUUGCCUUGUGAUUUGUGCAUGCUUUUGAUUUAUGUUACCAAUAAACGAAGAAAUUAAUUAAUUCGAAACCACAAUUUUCUUUUAAACAAUACCAUAUUAACUUUCUUAAAUUAAUCGGAAUUAAUUAAGGAUUAAUAAAAUUAAUAUGUCGAAAACGAAUAUAUAAAUUCGUUAUUGGCGGUUAAAAAAAUGUUUAAUUAAAGAUUUUUAAGUCGUACCUAAAUCGAAAAUGUCGAAAAUUACAACUUUGAUAAUUUGUUUUGUACAUGUAAGUGGUUUAAAAAGAAAAAGUUUCUUUAAAAAAAAGUUAUUUCUUUAAGAUUAUUUUAGUAAACAGCCGCCCGGAACCCAACAACGAAGUUGAACAACGUAUUUUACACACCAACAUUCACAAUGAUACCAGCCAAGGCGGAAAUUUGUUUUUUAAAAAUGACGGGAACGCAAAAGGUACCAUAGAAAGAAUUGAAAAUUUCGACAACAGCAAAUGCUUCAGCUUUAUAAUUCGUCUUUGCAUGCCUUAAAAUAAAUUUAUGUCAAUAAAUAAAUAUGAAAAGUAA